GUCCUGAGGUGUUAGUCGAAAGCUGGUAUGUUUGACCGAACACUUAUGGAAAUGGGAGUCCGUUGUUUUCACUCGUCGCGUAUGCCCGCAUCGGGAUUCGCAAACUGUGAAACAGGGCACCCACCUGCUUGCGAGCGGGUUUCAAAAUUUCGGCUUCACAACGGCACGUUCGGGAC
rnacentral:other from 1 species